AUGCAUCCUGAGCUCUGUGUGAGAGAUGCUCAGCAUGUGCAAGGGCAGCACAGAGAUGUUACAGGAACCAGGUCACUGCAGGGCUCUGGUGACAGGAGGUGUGUGAGUUCUGGUCAAAGGGACAGAGAUACUGAGUUCACUGGCUGGCAAAAAAGAACCAGACCAGAAGUGAAGUGCUGGGCUUCAGCCCCUCUGACCUGUGGUCAUGCCUGUAUCAUCUCCAUCAUUCUCUUUGCACUGGGCUCCUGGCAGGAUCAGCCACUGCUUCCCAGGAACCCAGAGCUGGCAGCAGCUGGCUGGUCCACUUCUGUCACCCCCCUGGAAUGGGACAUCAUGGAGCCCUCUCUCUUGCUUGAAUGUCUCCAAGCUGUUCCUGGAAGAAUGAGCCAUUUGAGCCAGGAAGAGAUUAAAUUAUUGGAAUUGAGCAAAAGCAAUUUCCAUGAGGAUCUCUGUGUGCUUGAUGUUACCUGCACGACUAUUAAAUCACCGGAGCAAAGGACUCCCCAUCUUUCACACUGGUAACACUGGGCUGCAACAGCGUUAACCACUAUGCAAAUGGAAUGAAACCCUGACCUGCAAAUCACUCUGCAGUGAGGUACUUUUGGAGCUGCACCACACUUUGUCUGCUCUGAGGGCUGGUGCAGGUGCAGAGCAGCUCUGCAGACACAGGACUUCACUGUUAUUUCUGCACCCUCACAUCACUUUCUCUUCAAUUUGACCAACACAUCCUAACCAUGCAGAUGCAAUGAAUGUGCUUUUCCCUGUUCCACAGAAGAACAAUCCCACAGGAUCCACACAGCAAUUUGCUCAAAAUCAGAGAAAGCUGGCAUCAGUAUUGGAUUUUCAGUUCAAGAGUUUUUAAUUCCCCUGAUCUGAGCCCUCUCCUCUGUGGCAUUCCUCCCUCUCAGCUGUCGCCACUCUUGAUUUAACUGGAUAACCCAGAAAACAAGAUAUAUAAUUUUUUAAAGAAAAACCUCUAGGAUUUAAGUUUCUUCCUUUUUUUUUUUUUUCUUUUUCUUUUUUUGUUUUGAACAGGAAACCAAAACUGCAACGGAAAUGAGCUGCUGUAGCCUAGGUGCAGCUGGCCAGUGCUGUAGCUUGUUCACACAAACCUCCAGCUGCAAAAGCUGCCUCCCCUGUGGUGCUGAGGAAGCCUAAAGGAUCCAGCCUGGUGUAUCUGCUACUCCAGAGUUUUGCUUGAAUGCAGUUGCAGUGGCAUGAAUUAUUGAUAUCUCUGUUCAGGUUUGCUGUUCACGCAGGAAUUUGUAAUGCUUCCCCACCUUACGCUGUGAACGCGCUCUCGGGGCACAUAAAGGGUUGUGUUUAACACCCUUU
rnacentral:lncRNA from 1 species